GUGGUUCCACAGUACCUGCUUUGGACUGGCAGCAGUCAGCAAAGACUGCAAAGCAUACACAGAGGCAUACACAACAUCCCAGGAAAGCGUGCUGUAAACUGAACUCCCAACUUCCCUCUCCAAAAUAAAAGGAUGCUUUCAGUGGAUCCUGGAAAGAAAGGAAAGAAAUAAAGACUGAAAGAGUCCAACUACCAUGCCACAAGAUCUGUACUGAAGAAGAUGAUAUCUGGCUAAAAUUUUAUCUGGCCUUGGGAACUUCGUGGACAACUCAUUCCCCAACAGACAUGGGGUUAAAAGUGAUGUGGCUGGAGAGUCAAGUCCUAGAAGAGGCCAUGCCUGUAGGCACAGAAGACGGCAAUCAAUCAAAAGAGAUGAUGACAAGCAAGAGAAAUAGAAGAAAGAAUGGCAAAAAUAUUAUCGUGCUUGGUAGUCGCUUGGAUUUUCAUCUAAAAUACUGCUAGCUCCCUCCAGCAGAACACCGUGCAAAAAUGAACCAACACUUCUUGAUCCGUCAGUCUAAAUGUGGCCUUGGCCAGGUUUUCCUCAAAUGAAACAGAGGACCAGCUGCCAAGUUGGCAUUGGCAGCUAUCAACAUGUGGCAAGUCACCAACACUGAGCACAACCCUGGCUGGAGUUGUGGCUGUGCAGAGGUUUAUCAUAAAAACAGAGGACGUGCAAGCAAUACUUUCAGCAUUCAACUACUGGCGGUAUAAGAGAAAAUGCUCUGGCCAGUAUUUUGGGUCAGCAUGUGUUUGCCUCAGCUUUCACAGGAAUCCUUUGGCACGGUAAGUGGUUGUCAUGCUGUACUGGUGGAAGGGGAAGAAGUGACAUUACUGCACAGGUGUCUGUUCCUCAGCACUUCCUGUACAAUAGGGUACAAGUAUUAAUGCUCUGGGAUGGGUUAUCACAGUGAAUUGAGCACUUGGAGCUAAACGAUACAGUGUCCUGCUUCCAAUAUUCCCCACCUGAACUGAGACUCAAGAGUGUGCUGCAAACCCUCCUUGUACAGUAGCUGCUCUCUCCAUACUUUCUGUACUUGCAGUUAUGUUCUUGGAAAAGCCUCUCAAGGUUACAAGACUUAAGAUUUUCUCCCAUACAAUUAGCACUAUAUAUGAAGUUCUAAAAAAAUGUUUCUUACAUCCAUCAUAGGAUGCUAAAAAGAUGCUCAUGUCAGCAUCUUUUAGGGAAAAACUUAAAAGUAAAACUCAGAGAUAGACAGACUGACAAAUAGGCUUCCAGUCUUUUAGUCUCUACGGCUUCAAAUUUAACAGCAGCCAAAGCAUUACCGGGCAUUCCAAUAGGAUCUUACUGAACUCCCAAAGCUGCUCUUGAUGCACUGCUGCCCUACAUCAACUAGCACUGUCCAAAGCAAUGACUCCGUUUGGGAUGACAGAGAUUGAAGCACAGAUGAGUGAUGCUCUGGUGCAAUUUAAUUCUAUUGCACGGGCAUAGGUCCCAGCAUUUUUAUUGGCUGGACCUACUACACAGCCAGUUGCUACAUAAUUGGAUUUAAUCUACAGUCAUUUCACCUGUACUUUACUCGGAUGCAAUCUACUUAAAGGCGAUGACUCAUCUUACCACAAGUCCUUGCUGGGUAACUUAAUUUUGAAGAAAAAAGCCCAGUUCCCAGAAUUCAGAGUUGAAAGUAAUCUAGAAAAAAGGUGUAUGUGCAUCUCCCUCAGUAUACUAGAAACAGAAGUUAAAGCCAAUAAAAUAAGAAAUGGAAGAGCAAAACCAAACAAGCAUCACCACUGAGAAAAAUAUGUGGAUAACGUGUGCUGCAUGAUGACAGGAGAUCGAAUCCUAACACAUGGAGUGGAACAUUUGGAAACUUCAACUUCUCCAGCUGUAAGUGGGCCUUUCUUUCACUGUACUGUACAAGUAUUCUGUGAUAUUUACCAAACAUCAUCUUGAGAAAAAGCAGCUUCAUUCACCACUCCUGUAGUUCACAGAAAGACAGGUGUAGAGAUGACUCCCUAAGGAACCCCACUCCUGAAGUUUACCAGAGAGUAAAUUUUUCAUCUUCUAGCAGUCUGAUCAGACCUCUUAGCUCUUAGCAUAUCUUUGAAAUGAGCAGCACCUAACUAUUAGCAAGCUUAUUGUUAGCAAUCACUUAAGUACCAGGGUAUUGGUAGAACUGGAGAUUUUAUCAGUCUUGCACUUCAGGUGUAACCUCCAUUAUACUUUGUUCACUGACACCAUCUGAACCCUGACUCUCAGAUCCACCCCUUUCUCAAUUAUAAAAUAGAUAAAUAUCAACUUCAUACUUAAACCUAUUCAGGCAGGCUUUGCUGCUGUUUCAUAGCUUAAUUGUUCCUUCUCAACUCAACCGUAACUCUCUUUUGCUGAUCAACAUCUACCUAAGCCUAAUUCUAACCCAAGCCCAGUGACCCCUGUAAAACUUUUGCUCAGCAAAAACCAAGUAUCUCUGGGUGAACUCAACCUUUUGCAGACCCUGCUGUAAAUCAAUAUAUAUUUUUUUCCUUCUGGCAUUAACCACUGUAACUCCAAACCUAAUUCUAUUUGGUCCUCCUCAGCAGUCCCACACCUGACCCCAACCAAAUGGCUCACAUUGAUAUUGCUAAAUCCUCCACCUAGCCUAUAUGGCAAGUUCUAGGUACAUCUUUACCACUUGUCAGCAGUUAACAUCAGCUCUAAACAUAACCCUAGCUUUAUCACCAGGUUCAGACUUGAACCAAACUAAACAGUAGCUGCCAACACCAGUCUUACUGCAAACUGGUUGUAGUCAUAUAUCACUGGCUGCUGCUGGCCUGAACCCAGCCAUAUUAAUACUAGUUAUCAUUAGGCCAGCAAUCUUAAGAUGACCUCUAUAAUGAUGAGGGUGUUUUUCUGUAUCUUCCAGACUACGCCUUCUGCCAGCUGAUACGUGUGGAUAGAUAACUGUGUCUGGAAUACUUUGAUUAAUUAUUAAGUUUCUGUUUUAAGUAAUACUUGAUGACAAUUUCCAUACAGGUAGAAUAGGAAAAUGAAUUUAACAACAGUGAAGAAUUCAACCUGUUUGUGCUUCCAGUGUAUCAUAUAUUACUUGUGUGUUUUUAUCUAGGAAAAAAAAAAAACAAUAGACAAAAAAACCUCAGAAUAUUCUGAUAGUACUAGUGGGAAAACCUUGGUCUCCUGGUCAGUACCUGAAGCAGAAAUCCUGUCUAUUUACUCUGAAAUAUGAAAUGUUAAAGUACUUUUAGCCUGAACAGAAGUGUACAAUUGUCUAUAGGGAAGUAAGGCCCACAGUAAGCACUUUACGCUUGCAAUAUAAAAACCAAGGGUAAUUAGAAAUAGGCCUCUAUGCUGUAAAUUGCUGCACUUCUUAAAGAUGUAAGGAGUGCAAGCCAUGGUUACAGUCAUUGUUUACUCCUUGAAUUUUCUUAUUUAUACUCAAAUUCUGCAUCCUAAGAGCUUAAUCUCUGAUUCUUGUCUCUUUGACUGACAUUUGUGAAUGAUGUAUUUUCCUCAUAAUUAAUCAAUGGGCAGUCAUAUACUGCACGUCAGCAGCGUAAGUAUAAAUUUCAAACUAGUACUCUUAAAUAUGAUACCUUUCAGUCACUGAGGUGACAGUCAGUUACCUGAGGCCUCUAAAGUAGCAAUAUAGUCAUCUCAGACUCCUACAGUCAACGAAGAGACACAGAGCAAUUCAGCUUCAAAGAACAAUUCAGAUCUUAGUUCAGCUGAAUCAAACUCUGAAGGUGUCCCUUUUCUCUUUUAACUGUCUAGGAAGCCUACUUUGACUAAUUUUUCCUCAGCUGCUUCAGUUAUAUCAAGACUGAGUCAAAGGUUUUAAAGACAGUAGCUAAAAAGCAAAGAUUAAUUAGAUUGUCCAUUAAUUCCACCCAGUAUUAUUGGCCUAACAAAGAUUAAAUAUUGAACAACUAUCAAGAUUUCAAGAGCUAUAUAGAAGCCAAAGUCCAUUUAAAAAAAGAUAAAUUAUAAUUCAUCUGUUGCCUCCUCAUGAGAUAGAAGUCAUCUUUGGAAAGGCUUCAAUUAUACUGGCGCAACACUACAGCUACCUCAAGAAUUCAAAUAAGAAUGGUCUGUUGGGAUGGCAUUACUAGCUCUUCAAGAAAUUUAGGUCAUCAUCACAAAAGCACCUGGCUAACACAGUUAUUUCAACUUACACUUAGGAUACCUAUUUGUAAUUUUAGUAUCUUUUAACAGUACAGAUUUGAGACAUGCGGAAGUAAUCUUAAAAUGAAAGAGGUUCCAAGCAACUUUGAAAAGUGUCCUUAAGCUGUAAAAGAGCCCUUCGCCACAUUAAUUCUCUCUCAAACAAGAAAGAAGAAAGACAAGAAAGAUAUUCUGCAUGCAGGUAAUUGCUUGGUAGGAAAGCUUCAGCUCUUCUGAUUUCAGAGAUGAAAACUUGUGUACAGAUGUUACCAGCAAGUAUUUUUUUUCCAUAAUGGCAAGAAAUGUGGCCAUGAUAUCUUAAUUCCAUAUGUAAUUAAAUCCCUUGAAGAGUCCUGAAAGUUUUGGGAAAAAUCACUAUAAUUUCUGCUAAUCUUUUUAUCCAGAAAUUAGGUUAGGUAAGUUUUAAAAAAAUCCAGAAGGGAAGAAAGGGGACAGACAGAGAGACCUGCAGAGAUAAAUAAAAUAAUAAUCAGCAUAGGAAUCUGAAGGAAAUGCCUUACUUGAGGUUUCAUAGUAAAGUGAUUGUGAAGCUUUUUUAUGCAGGAACAGACUUUUUUUUUAAUCUCGAGAAUUUUCAUAAGAUGUCAAAAACUUGAUAUUUAGAGCAGCAAGAAAUGAGGAGAGGUAACUGAAUAAGCUAAUUUAAACUGUCAGAGCACAGAAAAUAGUGUUGUUUUCUCUCAGUCCAAAUGAAAGUGAAUGCACUAAAAAAAAAAGCAAUGACUGACAAGCAUUGUCAAAUACGUAAGCCCUUAAGAGCCCAAUUAUUGAUAAAACUCAGUUCUUAAAUGCAGUCAAAGUACUUGCUGUGAGCGUUCUCAGCUAGAACCAGCACUGUUAUGUUGGUGGAAUGAAAGCCGUUUCGAAUGAAAACAUUAAUGGACUAUUUAAAGUACUAUUAUCAAUACUCUACUAUACGGUAUUACUUUUCUCCACACUACACUUCACUUAGAUACACUUUAACUUAAAAACCUUCUAGCAGCGAACAGUUGCCUAGCGUAAGGUUAGUCAGAAAUAUCUGUCUCAUUCAAAUAACUUUACUAAAUAAAACAAAAAUCCCUUUUUCCCUAAUUUAUUAAUCAUCACAAGUAUUUUGACAUCAGCGGUUCAUUUUUUUGUUAGCUUUUCACUCCUGAUCGGAUUAUGUAACACUUCUGUUGCACGGUGCCCAUUCUCUUCCCCACGUGUCUUUUCAGAAGUCUCUGAAUUUGUUGAAAAAGUAAAAUUGUGUACAUUUUUCUUAAACAAACCACGCUGCUUCUCUAACAGGUUUUAAAAAUAAGAUAAAUUGCAAUAAUAAACCUGUAUUUAUGUCAAUAAUUCAAAUAAAUAAUAAACGGCUGUUUUUAAGGUUUAAGCA